UAAUUUUGCUUUUAGGUUAGUGCAAAAGUAAUUGCAGUUUUUGUCAUUGAAAGUAAUGGCAAAAACUGCAAUUGCUUUUGUACCAACCUAAUAUUUUUUACAGU
ensembl:miRNA